CCUACGGGUGGCAGCAGUGAGGAAUAUUGGUCAAUGGACGAGAGUCUGAACCAGCCAAGUAGCGUGAAGGAUGACUGCCCUAUGGGUUGUAAACUUCUUUUAUAUGGGAAUAAAACGUUCCACGUGUGGGAUUUUGUAUGUACCAUAUGAAUAAGGAUCGGCUAACUCCGUGCCAGCAGCCGCGUUAAUACGGAGGAUCCGAGCGUUAUCCGGAUUUAUUGGGUUUAAAGGGAGCGUAGGUGGAUUGUUAAGUCAGUUGUGAAAGUUUGCGGCUCAACCGUAAAAUUGCAGUCGAAACUGGCAGUCUUGAGUACAGUAGAGGUGGGCGGAAUUCGUGGUGUAGCGGUGAAAUGCUUAGAUAUCACGAAGAACUCCGAUUGCGAAGGCAGUUCACUGGACUGCAACUGACACUGAGGCUCGAAAGUGUGGGUAUCAAACAGGAUUAGAUACCCUGGUAGUC
rnacentral:rRNA from 1 species